rnacentral:lncRNA from 1 species
AAUAUACCGUUUUGACAUUGAAAAGUACGACGUGGUCCACCAACAACGGCUAAUGUGACAGUGAUUAUAUUCUUUGUGACAACUCUGUUAUCUUUGUUAGAAACGUUUUCUGUAGUUUUGUUUUUCUUAUUGAAGUGUUGUAGAUGUGGGUUGGAUUUAGCGAGCUAAAAUUCAGGAAAUAGUGAAUUAAAAUCGAGAGGUUUGUCAUGUAACUAAUCAAAA